rnacentral:rRNA from 1 species
GACGAACGCUGGCGGCGUGCUUAACACAUGCAAGUCGAACGGAAAGGCCCUGCUUUUGUGGGGUGCUCGAGUGGCGAACGGGUGAGUAACACGUGAGUAACCUGCCCUUGACUUUGGGAUAACUUCAGGAAACUGGGGCUAAUACCGGAUAGGAGCUCCUGCUGCAUGGUGGGGGUUGGAAAGUUUCGGCGGUUGGGGAUGGACUCGCGGCUUAUCAGCUUGUUGGUGGGGUAGUGGCUUACCAAGGCUUUGACGGGUAGCCGGCCUGAGAGGGUGACCGGCCACAUUGGGACUGAGAUACGGCCCAGAAUCCUACGGGAGGCAGCAGUGGGGAAUAUUACACAAUGGGCGGAAGCCUGAUGCAGCAACGCCGCGUGCGGGAUGACGGCCUUCGGGUUGUAAACCGCUUUCGCCUGUGACGAGGCGUGAGUGACGGUAAUGGGUAAAGAAGCACCGGCUAACUACGUG